UACGUAGGGCGCAAGCGUUGUCCGGAAUUAUUGGGCGUAAAGAGCUCGUAGGCGGCCUGUCGCGUCCGCUGUGAAAUCCCGGGGCUUAACCCCGGGCGUGCAGUGGAUACGGGCUGGCUAGAGGCAGGCAGGGGAGAACGGAAUUCCCGGUGUAGCGGUGAAAUGCGCAGAUAUCGGGAGGAACACCUAUGGCGAAGGCAGCUCGCUGGGACGUUACUGACGCUGAGGAGCGAAAGCGUGGGGAGCGAACAGG
rnacentral:rRNA from 1 species